rnacentral:ncRNA from 1 species
UCUUUGGCACCGUAUUAAGGUUGUGGUUUAAUUUUUUUUAAAUCGCAUUAAAAGGGAAGAGAGUGAUUGAAAAUUGAUGAUUAAUGAUUUUUGAUUCUAGAUUUAAAAUCUAAAAUCAUUAUUUAAAAUUCAAAAUUCAAAAAUCUAGCGCUGUACCCGCAACUGUAAGCUAUCAAAGCUUGUUGUUAUCUACAAAACCACUGUUUGCCGCGGCGAAUGGGAAGGUCAACAACAAGACGCAAGCCAGGAGACCUGCCUUUUUUUAUUAACGAAU